UACGGAGGAUGCGAGCGUUAUCCGGAUUUAUUGGGUUUAAAGGGUGCGUAGGCGGGUUAUCAAGUCAGCGGUAAAAUCGUGGAGCUCAACUCCAUCCAGCCGUUGAAACUGAUGAUCUUGAGUGGGCGAGAGGUAAGCGGAAUUCCUGGUGUAGCGGUGAAAUGCGUAGAUAUCAGGAGGAACACCGGCGGCGAAGGCGGCCAACUGGGCUUUAACUGACGCUGAGGCUCGAAAGUGUGGGGAGCAAACAGG
rnacentral:rRNA from 1 species